GGCGGCGAGGAGUUGAGCAGUCGGGGAGGGAGCGGCCCCGAGAGGCGGGACAACUCGGCGCUGAUGGGGGAUCGGUUUGUUUCUGGUGGGAAAUGGCGUUGUGGCCGCACCUUCUCGAGCUGCUGGUGACCGGGAGCAGCUGUUUUGCAGAGAGAGAGAGAGAGAGAGAUGGAGCACUGGUGGGCAGCGCCUCCCCGUCUGGUCCCCCGUCCCCCGCUGCUUGUUUCUCAGCCCUGAGGUGUCUGUCCCUUCA